rnacentral:rRNA from 1 species
AACGAACGCUGGCGGCAGGCCUAACACAUGCAAGUCGAACGGUAGCACAGAGAGCUUGCUCUUGGGUGACGAGUGGCGGACGGGUGAGUAAUGUCUGGGAAACUGCCCGAUGGAGGGGGAUAACUACUGGAAACGGUAGCUAAUACCGCAUAACGUCUUCGGACCAAAGUGGGGGACCUUCGGGCCUCACACCAUCGGAUGUGCCCAGAUGGGAUUAGCUAGUAGGUGGGGUAAUGGCUCACCUAGGCGACGAUCCCUAGCUGGUCUGAGAGGAUGACCAGCCACACUGGAACUGAGACACGGUCCAGACUCCGACGGGAGGCAGCAGUGGGGAAUAUUGCACAAUGGGCGCAAGCCUGAUGCAGCCAUGCCGCGUGUAUGAAGAAGGCCUUCGGGUUGUAAAGUACUUUCAGCGAGGAGGAAGGCGGUAAGGUUAAUAACCUUGCCGAUUGACGUUACUCGCAGAAGAAGCACCGGCUAACUCCGUGCCAGCCGCCGCGGUAACAC